rnacentral:rRNA from 1 species
CCUACGGGAGGCAGCAGUGGGGAAUUUUGGACAAUGGACGAAAGUCUGAUCCAGCCAUUCCGCGUGCAGGAUGAAGGCCCUCGGGUUGUAAACUGCUUUUGUACGGAACGAAAAGGUCUCUAUUAAUACUAGGGGCUCAUGACGGUACCGUAAGAAUAAGCACCGGCUAACUACGUGCCAGCAGCCGCGGUAAUACGUAGGGUGCAAGCGUUAAUCGGAAUUACUGGGCGUAAAGCGUGCGCAGGCGGUUAUAUAAGACAGAUGUGAAAUCCCCGGGCUCAACCUGGGAACUGCAUUUGUGACUGUAUAGCUAGAGUACGGUAGAGGGGGAUGGAAUUCCGCGUGUAGCAGUGAAAUGCGUAGAUAUGCGGAGGAACACCGAUGGCGAAGGCAAUCCCCUGGACCUGUACUGACGCUCAUGCACGAAAGCGUGGGGAGCAAACAGGAUUAGAUACCCUGGUAGUCCACGCCCUAAACGAUGUCAACUGGUUGUUGGGUCUUCACUGACUCAGUAACGAAGCUAACGCGUGAAGUUGACCGCCUGGGGAGUACGGCCGCAAGGUUGAAACUCAAAUGAAUUGACGG